GACGAACGCUGGCGGCGUGCCUAACACAUGCAAGUCGAGCGGAGUUGACAAGAGGAAGUUUUCGGAUGGAAUCUUGCCAGCUUAGCGGCGGACGGGUGAGUAACGCGUGAGCGACCAACCUUGCACAGGGGGAUAACGGACCGAAAGGUUCACUAAUACCGCAUGAGACCACGGUGUUGCAUGACACAGGGGACAAAGGAGCAAUCCGGUGCAAGACGGGCUCGCGUCCGAUUAGGGAGUUGGUGGGGUAACGGCCCACCAAGCCUGUGAUCGGUAGCCGACCUGAGAGGGUGAUCGGCCACAUUGGAACUGAGAUACGGUCCAAACUCCUACGGGAGGCAGCAGUGGGGAAUAUUGGGCAAUGGGGGAAACCCUGACCCAGCAACGCCGCGUGAAGGAAGAAGGUUUUCGGAUUGAAAACUUCUGUCCUUGGUGAGGAGAAGAAGACGGUAGCCAAGGAGGAGGCCCCGGCUAACUACGUGCCAGCCGCCGCAGUAAAAC
rnacentral:rRNA from 1 species